UGCCCACCAAAGUGGAUCUGGCUCUUACCCCACUGUCCCUGCUCCCAAGACAGACUGCAGGGUUCUGCCUUUGUCACUUUGGCUCCAGGAUUUGGCACAAAGACAAGGAACAAUAACCACUCGCACGGGCUGGCGGAGACGGAGAACAAGAUACAGAGCCAUCGUUCAACUUCACCCAUCUCACCGCAACCUCAUAAAAAUUAAGGAAUAAUUUUUCAAAGAGAUAAGGGCUGCAGGGACAUGAAAAGCAAAACAACCAAACUGUUUCUGCCCUGAGGAGGUACACACAGGACGGGAAGGGAUUUCUUUUCCCAUUUUUAAUUUACAAGAACCUUGUAAACCACAAAUUAAAGCAGC
rnacentral:lncRNA from 1 species